rnacentral:tRNA from 1 species
AUUUAGAUAGCUUAAUUAAGAGCUUAAUAUUGAAGAUAUUAAGGUGGUUGUAUUUAAACCUUUAAAUA